rnacentral:tRNA from 1 species
GCCGCAGUAGCUCAGUUGGAAGAGCGCCCGGCUGUUAAUGCCAAUGUAACAGUAACCGGGCGGUCGGUGGUUCGAGUCCACCCCGCGGCG